UUGUGGAUACCUUCAACUCAUAAUAUGCUGUGAUUCUGUAAACCAUGAGGAGACACAUAUUUGGAAAGGAAAGAGCGGUGCAAGCAACCUUUCAGAAAGUAGAAGAGUAGAUGAUAAAAAGGAAAGCAGACCAUUUCUAUUUAAUACAAGAAUAAAAACAUGUUCUGGAAGUUGAAAACACUGUGAAAAGCAACUAGAACUGCAUUGAUAUGUUAUGUUAGUGAGUGUGAUAAUAGCUUUCUGUUCAGCUAGACCAUGAAAAGCAGCCAAGCUUCUCAGAGGAAUCAGCUACUUGAGGCAGAAGAUGCAUCACCCUAUCACAGGCUCAAAGCAAAAUAUGAGAUGAUAUUGACCCCAUGACACAAGAACUUUCAGAGGGAAGCAGAGAGGCUGGGCAGUGAUUUUUUUUUAAUGUAGAUGCCUAGAUUGGAGAAAGAAGCAUAAAAAAGAAAGAUAACACAAACACAAAGAAGAGGGAGCCGGAGACACAGAACAAAAAAUGGUGAGUAUGGCUCUGGGAAGGCAGAGUAUAACAAAAUAAAGCAACAAAGUAGAAAGGGGAGAUAUUCAGGUUUCCUGCCAAUGAGAGAACAGACAGGAUUAGAUCAAAGAAAUGACUGAUUAUUCUACAAUUUUUCCUCUCAGUGACACCACCAAUGCCUUAGGACCCUCAAUUACUGCUCAUUACUUGGAUCAAGAAGGGGUAAUCAUAUUCAGUGUAAUGAAUAAUUAAUCUACAGAAGUCAUGCAAAUAAUCUUCAUGAGACAGAUAAUUUUUUAAAUUUCUAAGAACUUUAGACAAGUGAAUAUAGACAUCUGUUGUUAUAUUUUCUGCCCCAGUAAUUACAAGAACUAUUAAUUUGCUCAUCUCAGGGGAAUGCUCAAGUGAAAAGAUUAGGAAGCUGUUUACGUUUAUGGUACCUUUGGAUGAUUAGAUAGCUGUGAGCUUUCUUCUGAAACUUACAGCAUUUUGGCAAAAUGCUCAAUUAUAUGUGCAGAGGUUUUGUUUUUAUUUUACACCUCCAGUACAUUUGGGCAAAAUAAUUAUGAUGUCAAUUAUAAGAGUUCAAGUGGAAAAUAAAUGGGAGCUGGAUGUGCAGCAUUUUACAUAAUAAAAUUUAUCUCUAAACUUAGUAAAUUAUUAAUUUUCUAUAACUGUCCCAAACUCAUAUAUGCAGUGUGGUUAUACUGCUAUCUUGUCUCAGGUUAUCUCAUUAAUAAAGGACUCUAAUUAAUUUUUUCCAGCUAAGCAUCCCUCCUCAUUUUCAAUGGAACCAAGCACAUCAAAGGUCCCAGUUGUGAGCAUUUCUGAAGAGUAAGCCAAUUGCAUACAGCAUAAUGAGAGGAGUUGGGACAUUCUGCUCUAGGGGCGCGUGUUUAAAAUUCAUUUUAUGUCCUCUGCAAAUGGUGGGUACUUUGUGCUGUCUUUGCCUUUUUUAGGCCUGCUGGUCAUGCAAAACUUUCCUCUCUCAUUAUCAGUUCCCAUGGGUGACAAAUGUUUAUUACAGAGCUGGAAACCCAGCUGCUUCCCUGGCAGGAGGGCAUAUUUUAGCCCACUAGAGUGAGUAGAGAAUAUCUUGAGAGUUAUGUUUACUCUUGCUCCUUUGCUUGUCAAACAAUUGGUUUUUGAAAGUUGACCAUGCAAAGAACAUCAGCUUCUAGGGGAUCAUUUGUUAUUAAUCUAAAUAUUCUACUCACAGUUAUUUUAUUAACAUAACAGUUUAACCUACCAAGUUUUUAACCCUACCCCUGACUGACAAUUUGCUAUGGAAGUACAGAGGGAGUAGGAACACACUGGAACAUCCUGCACAUGGCCAGUCUGUAACACAGGCUGUAAUCACUGUAAUCAUUCUUCCACCAAGAGCAAUGCCUUGUGUCCUCCUGCUGUAGCUGGCAUGAGCCUCCUGUUGGCUGUCAGAAGCUUCCCUGACAGCUCCCAACCUGCUGGAUGGCAGCUGAUGGUUUACAUUUAGUCCUGGUUCCUUUGAACACGCCUGUGUUCAUGCACACAGCGCACACACAUCCACGCCCACAAACAGGGUAAGCUGUGGCUAUGCUUACACUGCCUGGAUAUAUUUUGGGGAGGGGGAAGAACAGAUUUACCCCAUAGAGUGCUUGUAAAUUCUUCUCAGCAGUGCCAAAGUAAGUAAAGAAGGGCACAAGAAAUGGCACGAACAAAUGUGAAGGCUACUGCGAUCCGUGUAGGAUAAGAAAGGGGCAUUUCUCUUCCCGAUAAAGUAACUGCUGUGUGAAACAAGUGAGCAUUCUGUUACAGAGAAAUGAAACUAUUUCUGCUAAAAGAAACAUUUUAGCAGUUAACAGACCGACCAAAUUAUUUAGCAUACAGUUCAUCACCUCGUUAGAUCAAUGUUGCUACCAGAGAAAUAAGGCUUGGUGGGUAAAAAGAGCAGGGUUACAGAAAAACAUAACUUAUAAAAUCAGUGUUAGCAAGCUGUGAAACUCAGAAAUUAAUCUGAUUUAGCAGUGUAAAGGCAAAACAGAGGGGUAAACAUACUACUGAGACCAGAUUUAUUAACAGCAAAUGUGAAGGCAGUCACAACAAUGCAGACAGCAGCAAUACACAGUAAGAACAAGAGGUUUACAAAAGAAUCUUCCUCUAUACGCAUUUCACAAAGAAAUACAGGGGGGGAAUACAGAAAGAUUUAUACCAUCUGGAGGACAAAUCCGUAAUGAUAAAGAGACAUAUUGUUUUCCUGGGUCCUGUCAUAUGUGUGAGGUGUUUGUUAUAUAAUGCUGGGUAAGAAUAAACAUAACCAUGACAAUUGAAAGAUGACACUUGGGCUGCAUGAACCUCCUUACAGCUUACGGUAGGCUUACAGUGAACAGCAGUCCAGUGAUCUUAAGAUCAGUUCUCAUUUUCUUGUCUCAGCUGAAAGAGGAUAGUGAGGGCUUCUUGUAGACACAAAGAAAUCCUCUCAAGUGUGAGAACUGUGUGGGACCAAGCCUAAGGCUAGGAGUUUUUUGUUUAAUGAAAAGCUAAAUGGGCAGGUGUGGGUCAAGCGGAGAGUCUCUCCUGUUGAGAUUAAGUGAGGGUCAACAAGCAGAAAAGCAUGUCAGCCAGAGAAAGCCUUGGAAGCGAAGACCAAUAAUUUACAUGUGGUGUGUUACAGCUGAGAGGACAAUGUGCAACAUCUUUUUCUUCCUACACUUAGCCAAAAAAAAAAAAAAAAAAAAAAAGACCCAGCCAGACAAAAGUGAGAGCUGUCAUCUCUAAUAUAGCUUAGAUAAAUUGAUUUUGACAAGAGAUUAAUAAUUCUUUGUGUAAAUCACAGUGAUACCUGACUUCAUGUGGUUCCCUUCCGGUCAGGAAACAAGCUACCAUAGAGCUCUGCUAACAUUAAGAAAUUAUCUGCCAGCCAGAAGAUGGUGGUGGGUGUGGGACAAACUCAGACACCAGAAUGAAUUAACAGGGAGGGAACACAUUGACAAUAGGGCCAGAGUAAAGGUUUGAGGAAGAUCCUCAAAGGAUGCUGCUCCAUGAGAACAGGAGAGGAGGUCACACCUACUCUUUCAAGUGUAAAAACUCUCUUUUUUAUGCCAUUUGAUAUCUAAGUCAGGUGUUUUGACAGGUUCACAUUAAGAGAGAAAAUACAAGACUCUGCACCUGCCACUUUCUGAGGCACGCUAGAGCAUCAUGUCCCCAUCUGAAGGGAUUUGGAUGAGACAGAGGUUUCCUUGGCAAGGGUGUGAAGAAGUUCCAAGUCUGCACAACUGUCUCUUAAUGUUAAUGUUUUACAGUCUUUAACCAAACUUUCUAUAAAAAGUUAAUAUAAGACACAUAUCCAGCCUAACACACGAAGGGUUUGACUGCUUUUCAGAUGGUUUCAGUCUUCACAUAACAACAAAUCUCUCAUAAUUGCUCCACUGAGUGACUGACAGAAGGAAGGACAUGAAACAAUUUGCUUUCUAUGUCUAUUUUUAUGGCAUAUUAAUUGCUUUUUAGUAAUUGUGGCAAUAAAUGUAACUAAAUAGGUUUUUGUUUUGAACUAUUUUUGGUCAAUUUUUUUGCAAUUCAAAUAUUUCAUGUAUUUUCUGCAUUAUGAAAUUCAAUAUGUGAAGUUGUUUAAUUCAUUAAUAAAAUAGCAAAAAUUGAGACUGCAACUGUUUGCAGAAUUAGUUCCUUAUCUCUGCUCUUGACACUUUAAAUGUUUCAUGGGAUCGUUUUAUGACUAUAAAGCAUAUAUUUUCUGUAAAGAUUUUGGAAGCUUUUUCAACUUUGAAGUAGUUUAAUGGAAAUACAGAAAAAGAGCUUAGAGAAAGUUGAAGUAUAGGAGUAGGUGUUGAAAGGAGACAACAAGUUAUUUGAAGGCUUGAAAAAUGUCUUGCAGUGAAAAACUUAAAUUAGAAUUGGCUAGAAAUGCUUUGAUGCAAUGUUUUUCAGCUGAUAAUAUCUAUUCAUCAAAUUGAAGCCCUGCUGGAAGGGAUCAAUUUUCAUAUUUCUGGUUUUGAAAUAUUUCCAGCAGUUUCAAAGUUGUUAAAACAUUCUCCUUCAACAUUUUCCAAAUGAAAAAAACCCUACAAUUUUCAGCUCUAAAAGUCUUCCUCUCAAAAUAUAACCUAAUUAUGCCAACCAUCCCUAAACUGAGCUGGAAAUAUUGUAGAUCACCCAAAAUUGAAUUUCUUUUUGUUUUUCUCUUUUUUAUUUCUUUUUUUUUUAUUUUUUUAAUUUAUUCAUUUCUGGUAAACCAUCAACAUUUUCAAGAGUUCUUCUUUUCAUCAGGCUUUAAGAGUGGGAAAAAAUUUGGCCAGGUUGCCUGCCAGUUCAUCUGGUUCAAUCUAUCAAAACUAGUCCUUCAUUGAGGCAUAGCUCUGUAUGAAUAUAUUAAAUUCACUUUUGACUGUGUAUUGGGUUUGCCUGGCCAGGUUUUGGUAGCAGGAGGAGCUUCGGUGGGGUUUCUGUGAGAAGCUGCUGAAGGCUUUCCCCAUGUCCAACAGAGCCAAGGCCAGCUGGCUCCAGGAUGGACCCACCCUGGCCUAGGCUGAGCCCACCACAAAAUGGUUGCAGGAAAAUAUUUUUAAGAAGGGAGAAAAAAUCUGCAAUGCAUCAGCAGCUGGAAGAGGGGAGUCGCAAUAUGUGAGGACCCACUCUGCAAUGCUGAGGUCAGUGAAGGAGGGGAAGAGGAGCUCCAGGUGCCACAGUGAUUUGCCUUCCACUGCAGGUCUUCACUACUGCAGCCCAUGGAACAUCCCAACCCCAAAGCAGGUGAAUUCCCAAAGGAGGCCGUGACCCUGUGAGGAGCCGACCCUGCAGAAGGCUCCUGGAAGGAUCUGUGGACCUGUGGAAAGAGGGAGGAUCCCUUGCUGGAGCAGGUUUGCUGGCAGGGCUCAUGACCCCAUGGUAGACUCUGCUGGAGCAGUCUGCUCCCAAAGGUCUGCACCCUGUGGAAGGGACACACACUGGAGAGGUGCCUGAGAAGGACUCACACUGGAGUUUGUCAGAACUGUCUCCUGUGGGAGGGACCACGCACUGGAGAAGAGGACCAGGGAAAUGUGUGAGGAGUCCUGCCCUGAAGAGGACGAAGCAGCAGAGACAAUGUGUGAUGAACUGAUGCAGCCUCAUUGCCCAUCCCCCUGUGCCACUGGAGGGGGGAGGUAGAGGAAGCAAGAAUGAAGUUCAGCUCCAGAAGAAGGGAGGAGUGGGGAAAGGUGUUUUAUGAUUUGGUUUUAUUUGCCAUCAUUCUGCUCUGAUUUGGUAAUAAAUUUAUUUCCCCAAGUU